UACGUAGGGUGCAAGCGUUGUCCGGAAUUAUUGGGCGUAAAGCGCGUGUAGGCGGCCCGAUUAGUCCGCUGUGAAAGUCCAGGGCUCAACCCUGGAAUGCCGGUGGAUACUGUCGGGCUAGAGUCCGGAAGGGGCGAGUGGAAUUCCUGGUGUAGCGGUGAAAUGCGUAGAUAUCAAGUGGAACACCAGUGGCGAAGGCGAGUCUCUGGACAUUUCCUGACGCUGAGGCACGAAAGCCAGGGGAGCAAACGGG
rnacentral:rRNA from 1 species